ACGCUCGACACCUACGGGAGACAGCAGUGGGGAAUAUUGCACAAUGGGGGAAACCCUGAUGCAGCGACGCCGCGUGAGCGAAGAAGUAUUUCGGUAUGUAAAGCUCUAUCAGCAGGGAAGAAACUGACGGUACCUGACUAAGAAGCACCGGCUAAAUACGUGCCAGCAGCCGACGGUAAUCUGAGGCGGGCUGGCAAGGC
rnacentral:rRNA from 1 species